rnacentral:lncRNA from 1 species
GUAAACUCAAAAGCGUCUCAAUAAGGACAGCAUCUCUCUUCCAAACCUCAAUGGGUUUUGCUGGCUGCACUUCCAGGGCAAGUUGUCUUGGCCACACUUUACUUCUCUUCCACUCUCUCAAUCCCUUUCACUGGGCUUGGAGGCACAGCAACUCAGAACUACAAAGUCUGGUCUGGGCAGCAGAGUCAUUGGCUGCGCUGUACUCUCCCUCAGGGCAGUGGCAAGCUGGGACCUCUCUCAAUAGGCAAGGGACCUCCGACUCCCUGUUUUAGAUCACUUCCCCCUUGGACAAAAUUUAGACCUUUGUGUAAAAGCUGACUGAGAAAAGUGCAAUGUGUUCAUCUGUCAAGCCAAGGAUGAGAGUAAUGAAAAUUUUCCCAUCAAGGUUCACGUCCUUUGCAGAAACUUCGUUUUCAACCAUCUUGUUGGCCUUCUCUGCCCUGUUGAUAAUGCGCCCCCUAGUGGAUGCUUUACAACAUGCCCUUUGUCUUCGUAGAAACUGAGUCCUUCCGCCUGACUUCCGUUCUCGAAUCCUCAAGGUUCUUCCUCAACACUGCAGUCGGCUGACUUUCCAUUGGCUGCCAGAGUUACCUGAAAAUAAUUAUCAUCAACAUCCAGCUUACAGACCACGAACCAGAAAAAAGCCCUGUGGGUUAUGUGGAGAAGCACCAAAUCCAAGAUUAUACUACAUGACUGAAAUAUUAGUUUUAAAUGGAGUUCUUUCCAAAUUGAAUUUGAACCUGUCUUGGGUUUCAACAGUGAUCUGAGAAUUUUAAAAAUCCAUAUUUGCCUUGGGAGUAUCAAGGUAUUAAAGCUGCUUUGUAAUUUGGGGAAUAACUUCUACUAUGUUUUUAGUGUUGUGGGGUGUCUAACUACCCAGAGAUCCAUCACACAAUAACACAGUCCUUAAAAUACAGUGCCCAUGUGCUACUCCAUACAACCACAGAGGAAGAAAUCCAGAACUAGGUAUCUAGUUCUACUCAUGCAUGUGAAAGGUUCAGUUGCAAUGACACCAGGUAGAUGGCAUACGUGUCUAAUUUUUAAAUCAGAAAUCAUGACAUUUCAGCUGUGCCAAAUAAGCUAUCCCAGCUUUAAAGAUUAAAAAGAAAAGUAGGGAGAAUUAAAAGUCUGAGAUUGGUGACAAUGUUUAUCUAAAUUACUUCAAUGCAGACAUUUAAUAAUCAGAUAAAAUUACCAGACCAUCUAUAUUAUGCUUCCCUGGCUCAAAGUGAACUGAACCUUUUUGCAGAAUAGGAGGUUUUCCCCUCCACUUCUAAGUAGUUUUCCUAGCUUACCUUCUGUCUGUCUGUCCUCAACGUCAUGUGCAAACUUAAACCCACGACUGAUAUUCCACAUAAUGGAGAGACUGGAUUUAUGAAAGCAUUAGAAUAUGGAGACGUGACAAACGCAGUAAUGUUUGAAAGAAAUCUGACUUUCUUCUUACCCAAGUGGAAGUGAAAUGCAUGCAUCAUGACCACAUACAACAUGCUAGGAACAGAAAACCAAGUGCCCUUCAACGAAUCAAGCAAAGGAAAAUAAAAACCAUUUAUCCAAUCCCCAUUAGCCCCCCAAUUUUUUUCAGAAAAACAGACCAUGCAAUUAGCAAUGACUGCUCCACAUGCAGUUAUUCUGAUUAAACUUGAAAACUAUUGUGUAACUUCAAACUACUAUUACCAGGCAAGAGUUUGAAUACACAGACCAACAAGACAUAACAAUGCUUGAAAUGGUUAAAGUUUUGACCAGAGCUGCAGCAAAUUUGUUUCCCUUUCAGUGAACUGUCAAGAAAGAUUGCCAGGGACAGACUGUCUGCCCAGAGAAAGUUGUCUGUUCACUAUAACCUUGAAUGUGCCUAUUUGGCUCUCAGCGAUGAACCGCAUCAAUAGUGGUACAAAAUUAUCAAUCACAGUGUGGUGCCUUUGAAAGACCAGACAGCACUUGGGGGGAAGUGUUUUUGUUUUGUUUUUUUGUUUGUAAAUACUGGGGCCUAUGUUUCAAAAGAAUCUGGGACAGCAGAUUUUUUUGGCGUUUCCUUUCUUGGCUGGGCUAAAGAAAGCCAGGACUCCAUUCCCCAACCUGUCCCACUUCUCUCUGCUCCAACCACUUGGGUAAUACAAAAGAAAAAGAGGAUGGCAUUGGCAGCAAGCGCUGACAUCUCCCAUCUCAGUUUUUAAAAAGUGGGAAAUAGUGAGACAGAAUUAACCAUAAGGAAGUUCAAAGGAAUAAGUAAAUGUGACCCAGAUAUCCUCAGAAAGGGUGUAAAUUUAUCUCCAUGGCUCUGGCUGCCUCCUUCCCACACCAGCAUCAACACAGUUAACUGAUUUAGAGUGAGAAGAAUCAACUUGCUUUACCUAGCAAAGGCUGAGGAUCAAAUAGCCUUCACUAAGCUGAACCCAACAAUUUCAUUAAAAAUGUAAACAACUGAAAUAGUUGAUAAACCAAUAGAGCUAUUUUCAUCAUCUUCAAGACCUGCUCAGCUUGACCACUGGUCACCUAAAGGCUAAUUAACCAAUGAGUUUGCAGGUGGUUGGCUGGCUAACCAUUUACAUAGAGACUGAGCCACUAUCUCUAUGGAAC